rnacentral:rRNA from 1 species
CGCCUUUUGUUUGUCAUAGAAGGUCUAACCUGCCCGGUGCAUUAUGUAAACGGCUGCGGUAGCUUGACUGUACAAAGGUAGCAUAAUCAUUAGCCUAUUAAUUGUAGGAUGGAAUGAAGGGUAAAACGGGGGUAUACUGUCUCUUUCUAUUUUUUAGAAAUUAAUUUUUAAGUGAAAAAGCUUGGAUUUAAGCGAAGGACAAAAAGACCCUGGGAGCUUAAUAUUAACUCCCUUAUGGGGGCUAUUAAUUUGUUGGGGCAACAGAGGAUACUAACAUCCUUUAUUUUAGUGUCGGAGCUACUGUUUUGCAAUUAUUAGCUCCCCCAGGGAUAACAGCGUUAUUCCCCUUAGAGACCUUAUCGAAGGGGGGGAUUGCGACCUCGAUGUUGGACUAGAGAACCCGCCAACCGCAGAAGGCUGGUUGGUAGGUCUGUUCGACCUUUAAAUCUCUACACG